rnacentral:rRNA from 1 species
UAUACAUGACUCUGCGCAUAUCAAUAAGGGAGGAAAAGAAACUAACAAGGAUUCCCCUAGUAACGGCGAGUGAAGCGGGAAGAGCUCAAAUUUGAAAUCUUAAAGGGUUUCCCUUUACGAAUUGUAGUUUAAAGAAGUGUUUUCUGUUGAGGUUUUGGUAAAAGUUCUUUGGAAUAGGACAUCAUAGAGGGUGAGAAUCCCGUAUUUGACCUUUACUUUCAACUUUGUGAUACACUUUCAAAGAGUCGGAUUGUUUGGGAAUGCAGUCCAAAAUGGGUGGUAAAUUUCAUCUAAAGCUAAAUAUUGGCGAGAGACCGAUAGCGAACAAGUACCGUGAGGGAAAGAUGAAAAGAACUUUGAAAAGAGAGUUAAACAGUACGUGAAAUUGUCAAAAGGGAAGCGUUUGACACCAGUGUUGUUUUUCUGAAAAUCAAUUAAAGAACUGUUUAUGCUAAGCUGUUUAGACUUUAUCAGCUAUCUGUUUAGCUUUGAGCUUUUCUUUAAUGCACUUUUCAGUUAACAAGUCAACAUCAAUUUCUUUUGCUGUAAAAAAGCUUGAGGAAGGUGGCUUGAGAUUCGUCUUAAGUGUUUAUAGCCUCUUGCCUAUGCAGUCGGAGAGAUUGAGGUCUGCAGCGUAGAUCCUUCGGGGCUAAAUGCAUUUGUGCUAAGUUAUAGCAUUUUAUAGACAACUUGUUGACUAUGAUUUGUCUUGUAGCUUACUCGCUUAUGUUAUUUUACCUACGCUUAGGAUGUUGAUCUACAGAGCGAGAGU